rnacentral:rRNA from 1 species
AUGAACGCUGGCGGCGUGCCUAAUCCCUGCAAGUCGCGCGAACAGACGAGGAGCUUGCUCCUCUGACGUUAGCGGCGGACGGGUGAGUAACACGUGGAUAACCUACCUAUAAGACUGGGAUAACUUCGGGAAACCGGAGCUAAUACCGGAUAAUAUAUUGAACCGCCUGGUUCAAUAGUGAAAGACGGUUUUGCUGUCACUUAUAGAUGGAUCCGCGCCGCAUAAGCUAGUUGGUAGGGUAACGGCUUACCAAGGCAACGAUGCGUAGCCGACCUGAGAGGGGGAUCGGCCACACUGGAACUGAGACACGGUCCAGACUCCUACGGGAGGCAGCAGUAGGGAAUCUUCGGCAAUGGGCGAAAGCCUGACGGAGCAACGCCGCGUGAGUGAUGAAGGUCUUCGGAUCGUAAAACUCUGUUAUUAGGGAAGAACAAAUGUGUAAGUAACUAUGCACGUCUUGACGGUACCUAAUCAGAAAGCCACGGCUAACUACGUG